UACGAAAGGGGCUAGCGUUGUUCGGAAUUACUGGGCGUAAAGCGCACGUAGGCGGCAAUGUAAGUUGGGGGUGAAAUCCCGGGGCUCAACCCCGGAACUGCCUCCAAAACUACAUAGCUCGAGGAUGUGAGAGGUUGGCGGAAUUCAGAGUGUAGAGGUGAAAUUAGUAGAUAUUCGGAAGAACACCAGUGGCGAAGGCGGCCAACUGGCACAUUUCUGACGCUGAGGUGCGAAAGCGUGGGGAGCAAACAGG
rnacentral:rRNA from 1 species